rnacentral:rRNA from 1 species
UUUAAAGUCUAACCUGCCCAAUGAUGAAUUAAAUGGCCGCAGUAAUUUGACUGUGCAAAGGUAGCAUAAUCAUUAGUUUUUUAAUUGGAAGCUGGAAUGAAUGGUUGGACGAGAAAAAUACUGUCUCAGUUUAAUUUUAAUUAGAAUUUUAUUUUUAAGUAAAAAAGCUUAAAUAAGUUUAAAAGACGAGAAGACCCUAUAGAGUUUUAUAAUUGAUUUAUUUUAAUUUUUAAGGUAUUUUAAAUUAUUUGAAUAAAUUAAUUAUUUAAUUGGGGUGAUUAAAAAAUUUAAUUAACUUUUUUUUAUAUUUUACAUAUGUGUAUGAUUGAAUGAUCCAUUAUUAAUGAUUAAAAGAUUAAAUUACCUUAGGGAUAACAGCGUAAUUUUUUUUGAGAGUUCUUAUCAAUAAAAGAGUUUGCGACCUCGAUGUUGGAUUAAAAUAAAUUUUUGGUGCAGUAGCUAAAAAAUAAGGUCUGUUCGACCUUUAAAAUUUUACAUGAUCUGAGUUUAGACCGGCGUGAGCCAGGUUGGUUUCUAUCUUUAAAUUAUAGGUAUACUUUAGUACGAAAGGAUUAGGUAUAAAUAAUAAUUAUUUUAUGUUGAAUAUCAAUAAUGUA